rnacentral:rRNA from 1 species
UACGUAGGGUGCGAGCGUUAAUCGGAUUUACUGGGCGUAAAGCGUGCGUAGGCGGCUUCUUAAGUCGGAUGUGAAAUCCCUGAGCUUAACUUAGGAAUUGCAUUCGAUACUGGGAAGCUAGAGUAUGGGAGAGGAUGGUAGAAUUCCAGGUGUAGCGGUGAAAUGCGUAGAGAUCUGGAGGAAUACCGAUGGCGAAGGCAGCCAUCUGGCCUAAUACUGACGCUCAUGCACGAAAGCGUGGGGAGCAAACAGG